CCCUUAGAUGUUCUGGGCUGCACGCGCGCUACACUGAUGCGAUCAACAAGUUUUUCCUAUGUCGAUAGACACGGGUAAUCUUUUGAACUCGCAUCGUGAUGGGGAUAGAUUAUUGUAAUUAUUAAUCUUCAACGAGGAAUUCCUAGUAGGUGCAAAUCAUCAGUUUGCAUCGAUUACGUCCCUGCCCUUUGUACACACCGCCCGUCGCUGCUACCGAUUGGUUGAUCUGGUGAAUUAUUCGGACUGCCGGCUGAAGGGGUUUCCUCAUCUGCCAGCGGAAAGUCUUGUUAACCCUAUCAACUGGAGGAAGCAGAAGUCGUAACA
rnacentral:rRNA from 1 species